UACGUAGGGUGCGAGCGUUAAUCGGAAUUACUGGGCGUAAAGCGUGCGCAGGCGGUUUUGCAAGCCGGAUGUGAAAUCCCCGGGCUCAACCUGGGAAUGGCAUUGGAUACUGGCUCGCUAGAGUGCGGUAGAGGGUGGUGGAAUUCCCGGUGUAGCAGUGAAAUGCGUAGAGAUCGGGAGGAACAUCUGUGGCGAAGGCGGCCACCUGGACCAACACUGACACUGAGGCACGAAAGCGUGGGGAGCAAACAGG
rnacentral:rRNA from 1 species